rnacentral:rRNA from 1 species
ACGGGAGGCAGCAGUGAGGAAUAUUGGUCAAUGGCCGGAAGGCUGAACCAGCCAAGUAGCGUGAGGGAUGACCGCCCUAUGGGUCGUAAACCUCUUUUGACAGGGAAUAAAGUGAGGCACGUGUGCCUUUUCGCAUGUACCUGUCGAAUAAGCAUCGGCUAACUCCGUGCCAGCAGCCGCGGUAAUACGGAGGAUGCGAGCGUUAUCCGGAUUUAUUGGGUUUAAAGGGAGCGUAGGCGGAAGGUCAAGUCAGCUGUGAAAUGUAGUCGCUCAACGUCUGCACUGCAGUUGAAACUGGCCUCCUUGAGUGCGUAAGAGGCGGGCGGAAUUCGUCGUGUAGCGGUGAAAUGCUUAGAUAUGUCACAGAACACCGAUUGCGAAGGCAGCCGGCCAAUCCGCAACUGACGCUCAUGCACGAAAGCGUGGGGAUCGAACAGGAUUAGAUACCCUGGUA